AUUUUGAUCCCGUCUAGGAACAGAGCAAAUUUCUAAGGAAUCACCCACUUGCAGCAAGCCAGCACAUUCAAGUUAGGGCUGUGGCAUAUGACACCCAGUGCGUUCAAGUAAAGACUGCUCGUCUAUUUACCAAGAAUAUUUGAGAAAAGAAAAUGCCCCUGCCUGGUGGACAAUAGCACAAAGCAUUUCUCUGUACCUGGGCACAUUUGUUCCACUCGAUAAAAGAGGACCCCUGACCCAGGUACACAGGCAGUUGGAGAAGAGGACAACGAUGAACUGAUACAAAGAUGAGAAAACUGAAACAAGGUCACAAACCAGAUGAUCUAAAGGGUAGCCACUACUGCCUCCUAAAGAACCCCAAUCAGGAAUCCCAGAUUAAUUUGCCCAGCAUCCUGUUUGGAAACCACAUGUCCACCCUGCAACUGUACCUGGCUUGUGUCCCACAAGGAGGAAGAUGCAGGGGACUCCGGAAGCUAAGGAGGAGAUUGUGAACUCAGGCACCAAAUCCAACAAGCUCCCCGAGGAACUUACAACAGUCUGUUUUACAGAGAAGUAAAUGUUGCUGAGAGAGAAAAUUGUCAGGCCUCGGUGUUCCAGAGCAAGAGGCAUUCCUUCAUUCCCAGAGAGGCCCUGGGCCUCAGCAAGCAAGCCCGACAAGCCCUCCGCAGCCAGAAUCCAAGCUUCAGGCUGCACCUCCCUCACCGCUGGGCCCUGGACAGUGAGGCUGCUGCUCAGAACCCCUCUCCUCAGAGGGAAAUUCCUCAGGGCUGCCCCACCCGACCCGUUCUAUCAGUCACUCAAGCCCUCUAUCCUCUGUCACAGCCUGGCUCUGUCCCUUCCCAUGCCCCAACCCCCAACCUCCCAGGACCCAGUAUCUCAGGAUUUCUGCCCUCCUCCAGCCCCGAGCAGCCUGGAAGCCAAGUGGCAAGGAUGUAGUCAGCCGGGUGGGCCCUGAGAGCCGGUGGAAUGGUGUCCAUGUUGCAGGAAACAAGGGAAGGUGAGGGGUACAGGGGUGCCUGUGCCAGGCCACCACUCCACAGCUCAUUCUUCUCUGAGGUUAUUCCCCGACCCAUACCCCUCUGGAGCCCACCCCAGCUGCUUCCUCUUCCUAGGGGUCUCCACCUGAUGUUCUGUGACUCCCCUGAAAAUAAACUUUU
rnacentral:lncRNA from 10 species